UGGGUUUGCCGGAAGCCAACCAUUUCAGAAAUCCAUUCAGAUGAAAACAAGCUGAAAAUGUGUUUUCAGAAGGCCCACCGGUGUCAAGAUCCCAUGUAAAUAACACCAUCACUGCUGCGCAAAUGCUUUGAUCUAAUGCACCCUUGAAGACCGGAGCCGUGUGCUGAUGUUGCCAAGAGAGCUGGGGCAAAUGGAACCUUCAAUAAGUGUUCCUCAGUGACAUCAUUAGUGUUUGAAGACAUGUUGAUGCAUAUAUGUGUGUUUGCAUUUGCAGCAGCACGUUUGUUUGUUUUUUCCCUCUUUUAGCGGGAUAUGCCUGGGAAGAAGGCAGCUGACAACCCUGGCAAACAGACUGUCUUCACUGCAGGAACUCCACUGCCCAACAUAGGUGCUGGGCCGCAGAGGUCGGACCGCACGUGUGCAUCUGGGAUGAGCAGUUGCGUGAGCAGUUGCAUGAGCAGUAGAGUCACAGACACACUCUCCCGCAUUGGCCAUGAAGUCCAGUCCCAGCAUGAAGAUGGGGAUGAUGAAGACUUUGGCUGUGAUCUUCCUCUUCCCCUGCCACCCCCUCCGAGCAGGAAACACCCUGCUUUCGCUGAGAGUUAACUUCACCUUAUUUCUGACAUUAUCAGACCCAUUAAACAGAUGCAACGUAUAACACGAAAAAUGUUUACAGUUUUUUUUGGCAUGUGACAGUAUGACUUUACAUGUAUGCCCAGAUAUUAGUCAUAUUCUUAUCACAAAACAAUAUUACAAAAAACUCAUAAAAAAAUUGACGACUGUCUGCCAACUCAUCAAUGCUGCACUGUGCAGAUAAGUCACAUUUGCCAAAAGAGCUGCUUAUCCCACUGUAAAAGAAGUUUUUGAAAAGGAAUAAAAGAAGCAGUCUCCAAUGUACAAAACCCUUAUACGCUUCAUUGAGUAAAGUGACAACAAAAAGUAUGGCAUCAACUGACUCCAGUAGGCCCUAUUCUGAAUGAGUUCAAUGGACUGCAGCCUGGAACCCUGAAUGCAGCUCGAGAGGAAGGGACAUGACUAACGGUAUGGCAUUCUGUGUGUGCGCGCUGGUGUUGGCUACUCCUGGAAUGUCCUUUAGCUUUCUCUCAGGAAUGCAAGGCAUUGGAAAUGGUCUCAAUGGCCAUGGCCAUACAAUAACUGGUGUGGAUAUCUGGGCUGUUUCCUAGCCUGAAUGUAACAGAGAGGGGAAGGGGAAACUGAGAAAAGGGAACAAAAAGCAAAUGCUUUGUCAUCUCCCCUGAUCUUUCUGUCUAAGAGUCUCAUCUCUAGCCGUGUUGUGGUUUACAUUAAAUGACUGAAGUCUGUGUUCCAUUCUACUCUGUGUUUACUUGGAGAUUCAUGUUUUGUGAUUCAUGUUUUGUGACUCUUAUUAUUACUGUC